rnacentral:rRNA from 1 species
UACGUAGGCAGCGAGCGUUGUUCGGAGUUACUGGGCGUAAAGGGCGCGUAGGCGGCGUGGUAAGUCACUUGUGAAAUCUCUGAGCUUAACUCAGAACGGCCACGUGAUACUGCUGUGCUAGAGUGCAGAAGGGGCAAUCGGAAUUCUUGGUGUAGCGGUGAAAUGCGUAGAUAUCAAGAGGAACACCGGAGGUGAAGACGGGUUGCUGGGCUGACACUGACGCUGAGGCGCGAAAGCCAGGGGAGCAAACGGG